UACGUAGGGCGCAAGCGUUGUCCGGGAAUUUAUUGGGGCGUAAAGGGCUCGUAGGCGGCUUGUCACGUCGGGUGUGAAAGCCCGGGGCUUAACCCCGGGUCUGCAUUCGAUACGGGCUAGCUAGAGUGUGGUAGGGGGAGAUCGGAAUUCCUGGUGUAGCGGUGAAAUGCGCAGAUAUCAGGAGGAACACCGGUGGCGAAAGGCGGAUCUCUGGGCCAUUACUGACGUGAGGAGCGAAAGCGU
rnacentral:rRNA from 1 species